rnacentral:rRNA from 1 species
UCAAGCUACAAAGAGCGCAAGGGGAAUGCCUUGGCACCAGGAGCCGACGAAGGACGCAGCAAUCUGCGAAAAGCCACGGGGAGCCGAAAGCAGGCAUCGAUCCGUGGAUGUCCGAAUGGGGAAACCCGGCUGAGUGAAGCUCAGUCAGCGUACACUGAAUCCAUAGGUGUGCGUGGGGAACCGCCUGAACUGAAACAUCUAAGUAGGGCGAGGAAAAGAAAUCAACCGAGAUUCCGCAAGUAGUGGCGAGCGAACGCGGAAGAGGCCAAACCGGCUGUAGAAAUAUGGCCGGGGUAAGGACAGCAAAAUGUAUGUUGGACCCUAGCAGAAGGGCAUGGGACGGUCCACCACAGAGAGUGAUAGUCUCGUAUGCGAAAGGGAAAAACAGCAAGCUGUAUCCGGAGUACCACUGGACACGUGAAACCCGGUGGGAAUGUGGGGGGACCACCCUCCAAGCCUAAAUACUCCCUGGUGACCGAUAGUGAAGAGUACUGUGAAGGAAAGGUGAAAAGAACCCCGGGAGGGGAGUGAAAAGAACCUGAAACCUUGUGCUUACAAGCACACAGAGCACGUCAAGGUGUGAUGUGGUACCUUUUGUAGAAUGGUCCGGCGAGUGAAUGUAACGAGCAAGGUUAAGCACUUUAGGUGUGGAGCCGAAGCGAAAGCAAGUCUGAAAAGGGCGAGAAGUUCGUUGUAUUCGACCCGAAACCGGGUGACCUAGCCAUGUCCAGGCUGAAGUGAAGGUAAAACUUCAUGGAGGGCCGAACCCACUCCCGUUGAAAUGGUAGGGGAUGAGGUGUGGCUAGCGGAGAAAUUCCAAUCGAACCCGGAGAUAGCUGGUUCUCUCCGAAAUAGCUUUAGGGCUAGCCUCGACUGAACAUUACCGGAGGUAAAGCACUGAAUGGGCUAGGGGCCGAGAGGUUACUGAACCCUAUCAAACUAAGAAUGCCGGAUAAUGAUAGUCGGGAGUCAGACAGUGUGAGAUAAGUUUCAUUGUCGAAAGGGAAACAGCCCAGACCCACAGCUAAGGUCCCAAAGUAUCGUUAAGUGGAAAAGGAUGUGGAACUGCCCAGACAACCAGGAUGUUGGCUCAGAAGCAGCCAUACAUUCAAAGAGUGCGUAAUAGCUCACUGGUCGAGUGGUUCUGCGCCGAAAAUUUAACGGGGCUAAACGAUACACCGAAGCUUGGGAUGCAGCAUUGGCUGCAUGGUAGGAGAGCGUUCUGUACGGGGUGAAGUCAUAGCGGAAGCGGUGGUGGACUGUACAGAAGAGAGAAUGCCGGAAUGAGUAGCGAGAUUUAUGUGAGAAUCAUAAAGGCCGAAAGACUAAGGAUUUAGAAGGAAGGUUCGUCCGCUUCUAGUUAGCCGGGAGCUAAGGCGAGGCCGAAAGGCGUAGUCGAUGCACAUACGGUGGAGAUUCCGUAGCCGCCUCUUAAUUUAAGCAAAGGGACACUUUCAAAGGGAAUGACCCGGGCGUUGGUAGCCCCGGGCGAAAGGGACCGAAAUUAGAGUAGGGAAGCAUUUCUGGAGGAAGGCGAGAAAAGCUUUGCGGAUAGAGAGAGGCGCCCGUACCGCAAACCGACACAGGUAGUCAGGAAGAGGAUUCUAAGGCCAACGGGAGAAGGGUAGUUAAGGAACUCGGCAAAUUGACCCCGUAACUUCGGAAUAAGGGGUGCUCCUGAAAAGGAGCCGCAGUGAAUAGGCCCAGGCGACUGUUUAUCAAAAACACAGCUCUCUGCUAAAUCGUAAGAUGAUGUAUAGGGGGUGACGCCUGCCCGGUGCUGGAAGGUUAAGAGGAGUGCUUAGCGUAAGCGAAGGUAUGAAUUGAAGCCCCAGUAAACGGCGGCCGUAACUAUAACGGUCCUAAGGUAGCGAAAUUCCUUGUC